CACAGUUGCAAUAGUAUUUAAUUAAUGCUUCUUUUUUCUCCUGCAGAACAUUGACAUCACCCAUUUUGGCAGCAGCUGGAGCAAUGGCCUUGUCUUCUGUGCUCUGCUCCACGACUACCUGGCUGCCCACAUCCUCUACAAAGAGCUGAACAGUCAGGAGAAAGUCCAGGGAAUUUAAAAAGGAGUGAGGAAACUUACACAUAUGAACAGGGUGGAGUAUAGCAGGGAUCUCCCUUCGGAAACAACAAAAUUAACAAGUACCAACACAGAAAUCAGGAGCUCACAGCAAGAUGCUGAACACAGACUGGCCUGACCGGCAGAGCAUGAUGCAGUAUGUGGCCCAAAUCUACAAGUACUUUGGGAUAUAACCCUAGAGGGCCCAGAGCAGUCACCACUGCCACCCAAAUGUCCUUGAAGCUCUUGAUCACUGUUCACUGAUCCUGCUCUACCCACCACCCAGCUGACUGGACAAUCCUAGUGGACCAACACCCAGGUAAGAGACAGAGGUCUCACUGUGUACUCAUCUCAAAUGCAAACGCAGACGGAGUGUAAAUUAGGGCCACUUUGCUCUCCAGUGGG
rnacentral:lncRNA from 1 species